rnacentral:rRNA from 1 species
GGCUCAGGAUGAACGCUGGCGGCGUGCUUAACACAUGCAAGUCGAGCGAAGCACUUAUGAAAGAUUCUUCGGAUGAUUUCAUUUGUGACUGAGCGGCGGACGGGUGAGUAACGCGUGGGUAACCUGCCUCAUACAGGGGGAUAACAGUUGGAAACGACUGCUAAUACCGCAUAAGCGCACAGUACCGCAUGGUAUCGUGUGAAAAACUCCGGUGGUAUGAGAUGGACCCGCGUCUGAUUAGCUUGUUGGUGGGGUAACGGCCUACCAAGGCGACGAUCAGUAGCCGACCUGAGAGGGUGACCGGCCACAUUGGGACUGAGACACGGCCCAAACUCCUACGGGAGGCAGCAGUGGGGAAUAUUGCACAAUGGGGGAAGCCCUGAUGCAGCAACGCCGCGUGAGUGAAGAAGUAUUUCGGUAUGUAAAGCUCUAUCAGCAGGGAAGAAAAUGACGGUACCUGACUAAGAAGCCCCGGCUAACUACGUG